GACGAACGCUGGCGGCGUGCUUAACACAUGCAAGUCGAACGGUAAGGCCCUUCGGGGUACACGAGUGGCGAACGGGUGAGUAACACGUGGGUGAUCUGCCCUGCACUUCGGGAUAAGCCUGGGAAACUGGGUCUAAUACCGGAUAGGACCACUGCCUGCAUGGGUGGAGGUGGAAAGCUUUUGCGGUGUGGGAUGGGCCCGCGGCCUAUCAGCUUGUUGGUGGGGUGAUGGCCUACCAAGGCGACGACGGGUAGCCGGCCUGGGAGGGUGGCCGGCCACACUGGGACUGAGAUACGGCCCAGACUCCUACGGGAGGCAGCAGUGGGGAAUAUUGCACAAUGGGCGCAAGCCUGAUGCAGCGACGCCGCGUGAGGGAUGACGGCCUUCGGGUUGUAAACCUCUUUCAGCACCGACGAAGCGCAAGUGACGGUAGGUGCAGAAGAAGGACCGGCCAACUACGUGCCAGCAGCCGCCGUAA
rnacentral:rRNA from 1 species